UACGUAGGUGGCAAGCGUUGUCCGGAAUUAUUGGGCGUAAAGCGCGCGCAGGCGGUCCUUUAAGUCUGAUGUGAAAGCCCACGGCUCAACCGUGGAGGGUCAUUGGAAACUGGGGGACUUGAGUGCAGAAGAGGAAAGCGGAAUUCCACGUGUAGCGGUGAAAUGCGUAGAGAUGUGGAGGAACACCAGUGGCGAAGGCGGCUUUCUGGUCUGUAACUGACGCUCAUGCACGACAGCGUGGGGAGCAAACAGG
rnacentral:rRNA from 1 species